rnacentral:rRNA from 1 species
CCUACGGGUGGCAGCAGUGAGGAAGAUUGGUCAAUGGUCGGGAGACUGAACCAGCCAAGCCGCGUGAGGGAUGAAGGUACAGAGGAUCGUAAACCUCUUUUGUCAGGGAACAAAGGCGGGGACGUGUCCCCGGAUGAGUGUACCUGAAGAAAAAGCAUCGGCUAACUCCGUGCCAGCAGCCGCGGUAAUACGGAGGAUGCGAGCGUUAUCCGGAUUUAUUGGGUUUAAAGGGUGCGCAGGCGGUCUGUUAAGGCAGCGGUCAACGCCCGGGGCCCACCCCCGGCCCGCCGUUGAAACUGGCAGUCUCGCGUUGGCGAGAAGUAUGCGGAAUGCGCGGUGUAGCGGUGAACUGCAUAGCUAUCGCGC